GCCGGGGCUGCUGCAGGGCCGGGCUGGCAGGGCGGCUCCGGUGUCGGUGUCGGAGCGCUGGGGUGAGAAAAUAAUUACAAAUGAAAGAGAGAUUAGCAGGGGCUGUUGCGACAAAUGCUGCCGAAAUGGUUUCUGGAGCGCCGGCGGAACCUUCUGACGGGAGGGAUCGGAGCAGCUGCCGUCCCGUGGGGUGUGGGGAAACAGGGAUCCCUCUGGGACCCCGGAAUGAGAGCCUAAAACCUGACAAACCGCCGCUCAGGGGGAUGAGAUGUCAGACCAGGGCAGCCUCACGUCAUACAAAUGGACUGGUAAUUAACACAAUUUAUUUUUCAGAUUUCUCUGCCCCCUCCACCAGCAUCCCCCAGUCUUGGUGUUUGCAGAAGUGUUCAAACCCAUCUAAAAAAAUGGCUCACAGCUGCUGAAAGAUGGCUCUUACCUGGUGCUGGGAAUCCUCAGGGUUCAUCUAGUAAAACUACUCACUGCAUCUGACCCUGCUGGGCCCUCGCAGCUUUGUGUCCCCAGUAACCUCACAGUCACUCAGAGACGUUUUUUCCACUCCAGGUGUUGAUGAUGAAGGCGUCCCCACCUCUUGGUGACAUGGGUAUGGAGAGCGGGGCCGAGCCCUGCUGGGGAGGUGACAUUCCUGCAUCUGCCACUGCGAUGUGCACUUGCUCCAUCACUGCGGAACGGCAGCUGGAAGGAGGGGGGAAAUACCCAAAUCCAACCUCCCAGGAUGAGAAGAUUUAAUUUUGGCUAACUCCCGGGGACAAUAUUGAUGGCACAGCCCUAAGGGCUACCCAGCUCCCUACACCUCUCCCAGAUGGCUCACUCUCCACAUGAGGGCUUGUGGGACACAGGUUAAAAUGUCAGCACCUCCUGGGAUGUUCAUGAAACAAUUUCAUGGAGAGACAAGAAAUACCUGCAGCUUGGCUUUUGUCUCUGGGACAUUUGAAUCAUCCCACCUCCUAAAACCAUACAGGGUUUGGGCAUCCAACCCCACCACUGAUAAAAGAGAGGAUGACUGUAGGAUGCUUCCUCCUUUCCAGCAGCACCCACCUCUCUGAGACGUGAGAAAAGGUGGAUUAAUGAAUAAUUAUUUAUUAUUUAAAGAUUUACCUUUUAAACAGCAUUGUGGGACAGGGAGAGGGAAUAGAUUUGAUGCUAAUAAAUCAAAAUAAUAAUAUAAUAAUAUAAGAAAAAGAUGGGAUUGCCAGACAGCACUUCUAACCCUCAAGUCGUUUAUAAAACAGGGCGGUAUUUAUAUUUAAAAUAUUUAAA